UAGGGAAUCUUCCACAAUGGGCGCAAGCCUGAUGGAGCAACACCGCGUGAGUGAAGAAGGGUUUCGGCUCGUAAAGCUCUGUUGUUAAAGAAGAACACGUAUGAGAGUAACUGUUCAUACGUUGACGGUAUUUAACCAGAAAGUCACGGCUAACUACGUGC
rnacentral:rRNA from 1 species